UACGUAGGGUGCGAGCGUUAAUCGGAUUUACUGGGCGUAAAGCGUGCGCAGGCGGCCCGUUAAGACAGGUGUGAAAUCCCUGGGCUCAACCUAGGAAUUGCGCUUGUGACUGGCGGGCUCGAGUACGGUAGAGGGGGGUGGAAUUCCUGGUGUAGCAGUGAAAUGCGUAGAGAUCAGGAGGAACACCGAUGGCGAAGGCAGCCCCCUGGGCCUGUACUGACACUGAGGCUCGAAAGCGUGGGGAGCAAACAGG
rnacentral:rRNA from 1 species